GGGACCAUAGGUCAGUGGCAGAAUGUCUGCUUUGCACACAGAAGGUCCCAGGUUCAAUUCCCAGCAUCUUUG